CUUCAGGAGGUACCCACUCUCCAGGGACUGGAAUCUAGUAAUGCUAGUCAUCAUGCCAUGCUUCCUGGGUUAUUGCAAUUCUUCCAUAAGCCCACAGCAGUAUCCUUCAGGCUAACUCUCAGGCUGCCCUGGCUACUCCACCAGAGAAGGACUGUGCCCCUUCCUCUACCAAAGGAAUGUUUUCAGGGACUAUAUACUCUAUUGGGCCCACUUUGAUUAAUCCUGCAUCCUUCUCAGUAUUUCAUGUCAGAGGGAAAUAAAUUCUUUCCCCAUUGCA
rnacentral:lncRNA from 1 species